rnacentral:lncRNA from 1 species
UGUAUGUUCCGGUCGGAUGCCCUGGACGAGAAGCAGUGAGUCCCUCUGGAAAGACUGACCUUGGCUCAACUCUGAGAAGCACAUUAUCUUCCAGACACAGGUUCCACCAGAUACGUUGCUAUAGCAACCCUGCUUCUGCCAGAUGUUCCUGCUGCCUUUUCAUCCCAGCAGCAACGGUUUUGGUGGUUCUCAGACGUGGCCUUGUCCCCGACUUCCCUCACUCGGAUUCCCUGGCAGAAUCCCGAUGUCCUCCAGGAGCCCGUCCUCUGAGGUUGGACCGAACGCCCCCCAUCAUGCUCAACCCAGGACUUGCUCAAGGACUGCCGCCCCAAGCGCCUGCUCCCCUGACUGCGUGGGCGUGUGGUGUCGCUACAACCUGGUUUUCCUGUUCCUGUACAUUGGACUCAGGCUAGAUGGUCGUGGCGAGAACACUGUAUCGGUGACCUUAUGCGAACGUUACUCUGAAAUCCGGUCCAGCGGGUGGGGAGGGAGAGGCAGGUGCGGCCGACGUGUGUGCCGGGGAGCCGUGGCUGUGGCUCGAGGCCAGCCCGGUGCUUGCGUCAUCUUCACUGUGGGCUGGAGUGCCUGGCGGAGACGCCCUGUUGCUGUCUGCGUCUCUGUAGCGCCUUGCUCCCCCCCCCCCCCCCUCCCCCCCCCGCCACGUCAGAGCCCUUGCCUGUGGGAAGGCCCGUGGCAGGAACUGGGCACCAAGCA